GAGUUUGAUCCUGGCUCAGGAUGAACGCUGACAGAAUGCUUAACACAUGCAAGUCAACUUGAAUUUGGGUUUUUAACUUAGGUUUGGGUGGCGGACGGGUGAGUAACGCGUAAAGAACUUGCCUCACAGCUAGGGACAACAUUUGGAAACGAAUGCUAAUACCUGAUAUUAUGAUUUUAGGGCAUCCUAGAAUUAUGAAAGCUAUAUGCGCUGUGAGAGAGCUUUGCGUCCCAUUAGCUAGUUGGAGAGGUAACAGCUCACCAAGGCGAUGAUGGGUAGCCGGCCUGAGAGGGUGAACGGCCACAAGGGGACUGAGACACGGCCCUUACUCCUACGGGAGGCAGCAGUGGGGAAUAUUGGACAAUGGACCGAGAGUCUGAUCCAGCAAUUCUGUGUGCACGAUGAAGUUUUUCGGAAUGUAAAGUGCUUUCAGUUGGGAAGAAAAAAAUGACGGUACCAACAGAAGAAGUGACGGCUAAAUACGUGCCAGCAGCCGCGGUAAUACGUAUGUCACGAGCGUUAUCCGGAUUUAUUGGGCGUAAAGCGCGUCUAGGUGGUUAUAUAAGUCUGAUGUGAAAAUGCAGGGCUCAACUCUGUAUUGCGUUGGAAACUGUGUAACUAGAGUACUGGAGAGGUAAGCGGAACUACAAGUGUAGAGGUGAAAUUCGUAGAUAUUUGUAGGAAUGCCGAUGGGGAAGCCAGCUUACUGGACAGAUACUGACGCUAAAGCGCGAAAGCGUGGGUAGCAAACAGGAUUAGAUACCCUGGUAGUCCACGC
rnacentral:rRNA from 1 species